ensembl:rRNA 5_8S_rRNA 5.8S ribosomal RNA
GACUCUUCGCAGUGGAUCACUCGGCUCCUGCAUUGGUGAAGAGUGCAGCUAGCUUCGAGAAUAAAUGUGAAUUGGAGGGCAUCCUCGACACUUGGAGUGCACUUGCGUCCCGGCCCAGGGUUCCUCCAGGGUCUCUGCCUGUCUGAGCAUCC